UACGAAGGGGGCUAGCGUUGCUCGGAAUCACUGGGCGUAAAGCGCACGUAGGCGGCUUUUUAAGUCAGAGGUGAAAUCCUGGAGCUCAACUCCAGAACUGCCUUUGAUACUGGCAAGCUAGAGUCCGGAAGAGGUAAGUGGAACUCCUAGUGUAGAGGUGGAAUUCGUAGAUAUUAGGAAGAACACCAGUGGCGAAGGCGGCUUACUGGUCCGGAACUGACGCUGAGGUGCGAAAGCGUGGGGAGCGAACAGG
rnacentral:rRNA from 1 species